UACGUAGGUGGCAAGCGUUGUCCGGAUUUACUGGGCGUAAAGAGCGCGCAGGCGGUCGGAUAAGUCGAAUGUGAAAGCCCCCGGCUCAACUGGGGAGGGUCAUUCGAUACUGUUCGACUCGAAGGCAGGAGAGGGAAGUGGAAUUCCCGGUGUAGUGGUGAAAUGCGUAGAUAUCAGGAGGAACACCGGUGGCGAAGGCGGAUCUCUGGGCCUUACCUGACGCUGAGGCGCGAAAGCUAGGGGAGCGAACAGG
rnacentral:rRNA from 1 species